CCUACGGGAGGCAGCAGUGGGGAAUAUUGGACAAUGGGGGGAACCCUGAUCCAGCCAUGCCGCGUGUGUGAAGAAGGCCCUCGGGUUGUAAAGCACUUUCAGUGAGGAAGAACGCCUGGUGGUUAAUACCCAUCAGGAAAGACAUCACUCACAGAAGAAGCACCGGCUAACUCCGUGCCAGCAGCCGCGGUAAUACGGAGGGUGCGAGCGUUAAUCGGAAUUACUGGGCGUAAAGCGCGCGUAGGUGGCUUGAUAAGCCGGUUGUGAAAGCCCCGGGCUCAACCUGGGAACGGCAUCCGGAACUGUCAAGCUAGAGUGCAGGAGAGGAAGGUAGAAUUCCCGGUGUAGCGGUGAAAUGCGUAGAGAUCGGGAGGAAUACCAGUGGCGAAGGCGGCCUUCUGGACUGACACUGACACUGAGGUGCGAAAGCGUGGGUAGCAAACAGGAUUAGUACCCUGGUAGUC
rnacentral:rRNA from 1 species